GGACUACUGGGGUAUCUAAUCCUGUUUGCUCCCCACGCUUUCGCGCCUCAGCGUCAGUAUCGGUCCAGAGAGCCGCCUUCGCCACCGGUGUUCUUCCCAAUAUCUACGAAUUUCACCUCUACACUGGGAAUUCCACUCUCCUCUCCCGAACUCCAGCCCAUCAGUCCCAAGCGCAAUUCCCAGGUUAAGCCCGGGGCUUUCACGCCUGACUUGAUCGGCCGCCUGCGCGCCCUUUACGCCCAGUAAUUCCGAACAACGCUCGCCCCCUUCGUAUUACCGCGGCUGCUGGCAC
rnacentral:rRNA from 1 species